rnacentral:rRNA from 1 species
GAUGAACGCUGGCGGCGUGCCUAAUACAUGCAAGUCGAGCGAACAGAUGAGGAGCUUGCUCCUCUGACGUUAGCGGCGGACGGGUGAGUAACACGUGGAUAACCUACCUAUAAGGCUGGGAUAACUUCGGGAAACCGGAGCUAAUACCGGAUAAUAUAUUGAACCGCAUGGUUCAAUAGUUAAAGACGGUUUUGCUGUCACUUAUAGAUGGAUCCACGCCGCAUUAGCUAGUUGGUAAGGUAACGGCUUACCAAGGCAACGAUGCGUAGCCGACCUGAGAGGGUGAUCGGCCACACUGGAACUGAGACACGGUCCAGACUCCUACGGGAGGCAGCAGUAGGGAAUCUUCCGCAAUGGGCGAAAGCCUGACGGAGCAACGCCGCGUGAUUGAUGAAGGUCUUCGGAUCGUAAAACUCUGUUAUUAGGGAAGAACAAAUGUGUAAGUAACUAUGCACGUCUUGACGGUACCUAAUCAGAAAGCCACGGCUAACUACGUG